rnacentral:rRNA from 1 species
UACAUGUGGGGCAAGCGUUGUUCGGAAUUACUGGGCAUAAAGGGUGCGUAGGCGGCUUGUUAAGUCAGGGGUGAAAGUUUUCGGCCCAACCGGAAAAUUGCCUUUGAUACUGGCGAGCUCGAGUGCGUGAGGGGUAACCGGAACGAGCAGUGUAGCGGUGAAAUGCGUAGAUAUUGCUCGGAAGGCCAACGGGCGAAGGCAGGUUACUGGUACGCAACUGACGCUGAGGCACGAAAGCGUGGGGAGCAAACAGG